UACGUAGGGUGCAAGCGUUGUCCGGAAUUAUUGGGCGUAAAGGGCUCGUAGGCGGUUUGUCGCGUCGGGAGUGAAAACUCAGGGCUUAACCCUGAGCCUGCUUCCGAUACGGGCAGACUAGAGGUAUGCAGGGGAGAAUGGAAUUCCUGGUGUAGCGGUGAAAUGCGCAGAUAUCAGGAGGAACACCAAUGGCGAAGGCAGCUCGCUGGAACGGUACUGACGCUGAGGCGCGAAAGCGUGGGGAGCGAACAGG
rnacentral:rRNA from 1 species